UCGCUCUUGAGAGGUGACUGGCCAAUC
rnacentral:piRNA from 1 species